AGAAGCCAGGAGCUCAGCACCAUGGCUUGAACUAGGAGCGGGGUGGGGAUUUUACAAGCUGGGAAGACUUUCAAAGAGACCCGGCUUAUCUUUUGGCACAGAGGGUAGAGGUUUGACUGAUAAAGGGAACUCAGGGUAGGGACUGGAGACCGGACAAACACAGGAGUCUAGCGGGCCAUCUAUCCUGGGGCUGAGAACGUUGUGUUGAUUUCCUUUGCCCUCCGCUGCUGGAGACGAGUGGGCGCCCCUGGCUGAGUGGACAAGGUGCCAUGUGAGUACAUCUGGAUCCGUCGAGCUUUGGAUGGAGGUGACGUGGAGGAAGAUGAAGAUGAUGCUGAAGUCGCGGCCCUCCGCUCUGGUCACUCUCCUUCCUCCUGAAGCCGGUUUCCAGUCGGGUCUGCUCGCUGGGCUGGCACGGGUUCCUGUAGGUACUCAGGCCUCUACGAACAGCAUCUUCAGAUCACUCUAAGCGCCUUGCCCUAUGGGUUUCUCUCCUGCCUUGAGAGCAGUGUCAGGGGGAGUCUAAGAUGAGAUGUAGAGCCCCUGCUUCCCUUGGUCAUCUGCUGGAGGAAAGUCUUUCCCUUGCCUUUGGAUUUGUGGCUAGUCAGAAGGUCAGAAGAUGAGAUAAUGUCAUUUAUUUAAGUGCUCGUCUGACAGGCACGGCUUGGGACAUAAUGAACGACAUGUUUUCCAUG
ensembl:lncRNA